UGCUGUGUGGUGAAGUCCAUGUUGUGGGCAGCUGCUGUGUGGUGAAGUCCAUGUUGUGGGCAGCUGCUGUGUGGUGAAGUCCAUGUUGUGGGCAGCUGCUGUGUGGUGAAGUCCAUGUUGUGGGCAGCUGCUGUGUGGUGAAGUCCAUGUUGUGGGCAGCUGCUGUGUGGUGAAGUCCAUGUUGUGGGCAGCUGCAAGUCUUGAGAUAUCACCAGCAGCAACACCCCAUAACAAUGUUGAUGGAACUGGAAGAGCUGGAGUUGUUGGUGUGGUGGAUGGCAGAGGAAUGACUAGUGGCGCCACUAUUCUUGACCUUCAUGGCUAAUUGGCGCCAUUGACCUGGAGGAGAGGAAGAAGACUGCUGCCGACCUGGUGAGAUGUGUUGGUCUCGUUCCUCAGGAUCAGUAACCCUCGUCGCCCUCUACAGGUGGCAUAAUGCUGAGUCUAUGGUCGGUGGAGGACUCCAUUCUUGUGCCAGAGACGAAGAGAACUUAU